AACGCACCUUGCGCUCCUUGGUAUUCCGAGGAGCAUGCCUGUUUGAGUGUCAUUAAUAUAUCAACCCUUCACUUGUUGAGCGGUUUGGAUGUGGGGGUUUGCCUGGCCUCUUAAAAGGUUUUGGCUCCCCUGAAAUGCAUUAGCAGAACAACCCUGUUCAUUGGUGUGAUAAACUAUCUACGCUAUUGAAUGUGAAGGGCAGUUUGGCUUUCUAACAGUCCUCGGACAAACUCAUCAUUAAUGUGACCUCAAAUCAGGUAGGACUACCCGCUGAACUUAA
rnacentral:misc_RNA from 1 species